rnacentral:pre_miRNA from 1 species
GUAGUACUCUCUCCGUCCAACAAAGAAUGUCUCAAUUUUGACUAAAUUUAAAUGCAUCUAUACACUAAGUCAUGUCUAGAUACAUCCAAAUUUUGACAAACUUGAGACAUUUUUUGUUGGACAGAGGGAGUACUAA